AGCGAACGCUGGCGGCAGGCUUAACACAUGCAAGUCGAGCGCCCCGCAAGGGGAGCGGCAGACGGGUGAGUAACACGUGGGAACGUACCUUUUGGUUCGGAACAACCCAGGGAAACUUGGGCUAAUACCGGAUACGCCCUUACGGGGAAAGAUUUAUCGCCAAAAGAUCGGCCCGCGUCUGAUUAGCUAGUUGGUGGGGUAAUGGCCCACCAAGGCUACGAUCAGUAGCUGGUCUGAGAGGAUGAUCAGCCACAUUGGGACUGAGACACGGCCCAAACUCCUACGGGAGGCAGCAGUGGGGAAUAUUGGACAAUGGGGGCAACCCUGAUCCAGCCAUGCCGCGUGAGUGAUGAAGGCCUUAGGGUUGUAAAGCUCUUUUAGCGGGGAAGAUAAUGACGGUACCCGCAGAAAAAGCCCCGGCUAACUUCGUGCCAGCCGCCGCCGUAAUAC
rnacentral:rRNA from 1 species